rnacentral:rRNA from 1 species
GGAAGUCGAAAUCCGCUAAGGAGUGUGUAACAACUCACCGGC